rnacentral:rRNA from 1 species
UAGGGAAUCUUCCACAAUGGACGAAAGUACUGAUGGAGCAACGCCGCGUGAGUGAAGAAGGGUUUCGGCUCGUAAAACUCUGUUGUUAAAGAAGAACAUAUCUGAGAGUAACUGUUCAGGUAUUGACGGUAUUUAACCAGAAAGCCACGGCUAACUACGUGCCAU